UACGUAGGGUGCGAGCGUUGUCCGGAUUUAUUGGGCGUAAAGCGCGUGUAGGCGGCUUGGCAAGUCGGGUGUGAAAUCCCUCAGCUCAACUGAGGAAGUGCGCCCGAAACUGCUUAGCUUGAGUGCCGGAGAGGAUGGCGGAAUUCCCCAAGUAGAGGUGAAAUUCGUAGAUAUGGGGAGGAACACCGGUGGCGAAGGCGGCCAUCUGGACGGCAACUGACGCUGAGACGCGAAAGCGUGGGUAGCAAACAGG
rnacentral:rRNA from 1 species